GUGGGGAAUAUUGGUCAAUGGGCGAGAGCCUGAACCAGCCAAGUAGCGUGCAGGAUGACUGCCCUAUGGGUUGUAAACUGCUUUUAUGCGGGAAUAAAGUCGGGCACGUGUGCCUGUUUGUAUGUACCGCAUGAAUAAGGACCGGCUAAUUCCGUGCCAGCAGCCGCGGUAAUACGGAAGGUCCGGGCGUUAUCCGGAUUUAUUGGGUUUAAAGGGAGCGCAGGCGGAAGAUUAAGCGUGACGUGAAAUGUCCCGGCUCAACCGUGGAACUGCGUCGCGAACUGGUUUUCUUGAGUGAGUACGACGUUGGCGGAAUUCGUGGUGUAGCGGUGAAAUGCUUAGAUAUCACGAAGAACCCCGAUUGCGAAGGCAGCCGACGAGUCCUUAACUGACGCUAAAGCUCGAAAGUGCGGGUAUCGAACAGG
rnacentral:rRNA from 1 species